ACAAGCGGUGGAGUAUGUGGUUUAAUUCGAUGCAACGCGAAGAACCUUACCUGGUCUUGACAUCCCGGAGACCCUUAGGAAACGUAGGGGUGGCUUCCAUCUGGAAGAAUCUGGAGACAGGUGCUGCAUGGCUGUCGUCAGCUCGUGUCGUGAGAUGUUGGGUUAAGUCCCGCAACGAGCGCAACCCUUGCCUUUAGUUGCCAGCAGUUCGGCUGGGCACUCUAAAGGGACUGCCGGUGUUAAACCGGAGGAAGGUGGGGAUGACGUCAAGUCCUCAUGGCCUUUAUGACCAGGGCUACACACGUACUACAAUGGCCGAUACAAAGGGCAGCGACACUGCGAGGUGAAGCCAAUCCCGUAAAAUCGGUCUCAGUCCGGAUUGGAGUCUGCAACUCGACUCCAUGAAGUUGGAAUCGCUAGUAAUCGUGGAUCAGCAUGCCACGGUGAAUACGUUCCCGGGCCUU
rnacentral:rRNA from 1 species